rnacentral:rRNA from 1 species
GAUGAACGCUGGCGGCGUGCUUAACACAUGAAAGUCGAACGAAGCACUUUAUUUGAUUUCCUUCGGGACUGAUUAUUUUGUGACUGAGUGGCGGACGGGUGAGUAACGCGUGGGUAACCUGCCUUGUACAGGGGGAUAACAGUUGGAAACGGCUGCUAAUACCGCAUAAGCGCACGGCAUCGCAUGAUGCAGUGUGAAAAACUCCGGUGGUAUAAGAUGGACCCGCGUUGGAUUAGCUAGUUGGUGAGGUAACGGCCCACCAAGGCGACGAUCCAUAGCCGACCUGAGAGCGUGACCGGCCACAUUGGGACUGGGACACGGCCCAGACUCCUACGGUAGGCAGCAGUGGGGAAUAUUGCACAAUGGGCGAAAGCCUGAUGCAGCGACGCCGCGUGAGCGAAGAAGUAUUUCGGUAUGUAAAGCUCUAUCAGCAGGGAAGAUAAUGACGGUACCUGACUAAGAAGCACCGGCUAAAUCCGUG